rnacentral:rRNA from 1 species
GUGGGGAAUCUUGCGCAAUGGGCGAAAGCCUGACGCAGCGACGCCGCGUGAGCGAUGAAGGCCUUCGGGUUGUAAAGCUCUGUGGAGGGAGACGAAUAAGGGUUGGCUAACAUCCAGCUCGAUGACGGUAUCCCUUUAGCAAGCACCGGCUAACUCUGUGCCAGCAGCCGCGGUAAGACAGAGGGUGCAAACGUUGUUCGGAAUUACUGGGCGUAAAGCGCGUGUAGGCUGCUCGAUAAGUCGGGUGUGAAAGCCCUGGGCUCAACCUAGGAAGUGCACUCGAAACUGCCGAGCUGGAGUCCCGGAGAGGAAGGCGGAAUUCUCGGUGUAGAGGUGAAAUUCGUAGAUAUCGAGAGGAACACCGGUGGCGAAGGCGGCCUUCUGGACGGCGACUGACGCUAAGACGCGAAAGCGUGGGGAGCAAACAGGAUUAGAAACCCCGGUAGUCC